GGCAGCUUGGCCGAGUGGUUAAGGCGUUAGAUUUAGGCUACAAAGAACUCUAAUGGGCAACCGCGUGAGUUCGAACCUCACAGCUGUCA
rnacentral:tRNA from 2 species